rnacentral:lncRNA from 10 species
CUAGGACCUCCCCCAUGGAUGCUUCAUUCCCUUUGCUCAUUUCUUGGUCUUUCAGCUCCUGAUCUGGCUCCCCACAUGUUUCGUGGUAGCCAGGUCUAUGCAAACCUACCCCCAAGUCCAUGGCAGCUGACAGGCUAAAGAAAGAGGAUGACAAAUCCAGUUUCUUAGAAAGAAACAUUUAAUAGAGACUCACGAACGGAAGCCAUGUCUGUGUCCUGGAUGGUGGCUAGACAAGAUGGCGGAUCCCCACUGCAAAAGUUUCUCUAAGUUUCAAAAGGUCAAGGCCUAGAUCAGCACUAGCAAAAGCAGCAGGAACAACUUUAGUGAAAUCACUAAGACAGAAUUCGCACAAGGAACUCAAUGUCUGUACAAGAGGAUGCAGCAUUCAAGGUUCUAUCUUGGAAGCAGAGACUGUGCCCUCACCAGAUGCUGAACCUGCUGAGCACCCUGAUCUUCCACUUCACCUUCAUCAGAACUACUGCUGUGAUUGCACCUGCCAUCUUAUGCAGAAAUGACCUGAAGACAGACUGAAACAACGUGUUCUACAGCCUGAAAAUAUCUACCUUGACUUACAGUUUUAUUAAUGCUGGUGUGAUCAGACUGGACAAAAAUUAGCAUAUGUUAUUAACUGAUCUAAUUCAAGUGCCAAUUCUUAAUAGAAACACAAAACAAUAAAAGCAAUUCAGAAAAUAUUUACUAUUUGAUUUCUUCAAGCUCCAAACAGGCUUGUGCUUAGCUGUAGAAACUUGAAUAUAUACAAAUCUACAUGGAUAGAAUUCUUAGUCUUCUUUGGGCCAGGUGUGUUAGCCCCUUGGGAAAGGAUAAAG